GAUGAACGCUGGCGGCGUGCCUAAUACAUGCAAGUCGAGCGAACAGACGAGGAGCUUGCUCCUCUGACGUUAGCGGCGGACGGGUGAGUAACACGUGGAUAACCUACCUAUAAGACUGGGAUAACUUCGGGAAACCGGACCUAAUACCGGAUAAUAUAUUGAACCGCAUGGUUCAAUAGUGAAAGACGGUUUUGCUGUCACUUAUAGAUGGAUCCGCGCCGCAUUAGCUAGUUGGUAAGGUAACGGCUUACCAAGGCAACGAUGCGUAGCCGACCUGAGAGGGUGAUCGGCCACACUGGAACUGAGACACGGUCCAGACUCCUACGGGAGGCAGCAGUAGGGAAUCUUCCGCAAAGGGCGAAAGCCUGACGGAGCAACGCCGCGUGAGUGAUGAAGGUCUUCGGAUCGUAAAACUCUGUUAUUAGGGAAGAACAAAUGUGUAAGUAACUAUGCACGUCUUGACGGUACCUAAUCAGAAAGCCACGGCUAACUACGUG
rnacentral:rRNA from 1 species